GUGAACAGCUAUGGUGUUUGUUACAAGGUAAACCAAAGGCAUAGCUCUAAGGGGCUGCUCUUACCUGUGUCAGCCCAGGAGAAGUCCAAGUGACCCUGAACCCGAAGGUUCAUAUGAUCUGUGAGAAGUGAGUUAAAUUCUGGAACGUAAGAUAAAGGAGC